GAUGAACGCUGGCGGCGUGCUUAACACAUGCAAGUCGAACGGAAAGGCCGAAGCUUGCUUCGGUACUCGAGUGGCGAACGGGUGAGUAACACGUGGGUGAUCUGCCCUGUACUUCGGGAUAAGCUUGGGAAACUGGGUCUAAUACCGGAUAUGACGAUCUCUUGGAUGGGGUUGUGGAAAGCUUUUGCGGUAUGGGAUGAGCUCGCGGCCUAUCAGCUUGUUGGUGGGGUAAUGGCCUACCAAGGCGUCGACGGGUAGCCGGCCUGAGAGGGUGUACGGCCACAUUGGGACUGAGAUACGGCCCAGACUCCUACGGGAGGCAGCAGUGGGGAAUAUUGCACAAUGGGCGCAAGCCUGAUGCAGCGACGCCGCGUGGGGGAUGACGGCCUUCGGGUUGUAAACUCCUUUCGCAAUCGACGAAGCCUUUUGGUGACGGUAGGUUGAGAAGAAGCACCGGCUAACUACGUG
rnacentral:rRNA from 1 species